AGUGGUGGAGCAUGUGGUUUAAUUCGAUGCUACGCGAAGAACCUUACCAGCUCUUGACAUCUUCUGCCAACCCAAGAGAUUGGGCGUUCCCUUCGGGGACAGAAUGACAGGUGGUGCAUGGUUGUCGUCAGCUCGUGUCGUGAGAUGUUGGGUUAAGUCCCGCAACGAGCGCAACCCUUAUUAUUAGUUGCCAGCAUUUAGUUGGGCACUCUAGUGAGACUGCCGGUGAUAAACCGGAGGAAGGUGGGGACGACGUCAAAUCAUCAUGCCCCUUAUGAGCUGGGCUACACACGUGCUACAAUGGAUGGUACAACGAGUCGCGAAACCGCGAGGUCAAGCUAAUCUCUUAAAGCCAUUCUCAGUUCGGAUUGCAGGCUGCAACUCGCCUGCAUGAAGUUGGAAUCACUAGUAAUCGUGGAUCAGCAUGCCACGGUGAAUACGUUCCCGGGCCUUGUACACACCGCCCGUCACACCAUGAGAGUUUGUAACACCCAAAGACGAUGGGG
rnacentral:rRNA from 2 species